UCAGGUCUCCAAGGUGAACAG
rnacentral:snRNA from 1 species